rnacentral:rRNA from 1 species
UACGGAGGGUGCAAGCGUUAUCCGGAUUCACUGGGUUUAAAGGGUGCGUAGGCGGGCAGGUAAGUCCGUGGUGAAAUCUCUGAGCUUAACUCAGAAACUGCCAUGGAUACUAUUGUCUUGAAUAUUGUGGAGGUAAGCGGAAUAUGUCAUGUAGCGGUGAAAUGCUUAGAUAUGACAUAGAACACCAAUUGCGAAGGCAGCUUACUACACAGUUAUUGACGCUGAGGCACGAAAGCGUGGGGAUCAAACAGG